rnacentral:lncRNA from 12 species
GGGAGGGGAGCACAAAAGACUUUGCCUUGCUUCUCUUCUGUAGCUAGUUUUGCAACAAAGAUGCAAGCUGCAGGCGUGCAAUCUUCAUGCAAGUGGAGUUUCUCUUGACCGAUGCAGCAGAUGGACUUUCAGGGAAUCAAGAUGUAAAUGCACACCUUGCAAAACAGACUGGAAAGUGAUUUUUCCCCCAGUUGCAACGUUAGGGAAGGCUGUGCUGCAGCUACAUGAUGGGCCAGGGCUGGCAGCUAAAAGCUCCAAACUUGGAACUGAGUAUCUUAGUGCGCAGACGUCCUUCCUGCGAAGGGCGCGGGGGCCGCUGGGUAAUGUAGUUCCGAGCAGAGUCCACGGGGCUCGGAUUUAAGGAAACGUGGUCGCUCGGGUCGCUGAGCGGGAGGACUGGGUGCACCCAGAUAAACAAGUCAGACAUGCAGUCGGUAGUGAAGUGAUGAGGCCAGAAACGGCGGGGCCAGGGCGAGGGAGCAUUUUUGUUACGGAAAAGCCCCUGAAACAACAACAGUUGAAGAACAUUAGGUUAGCUGAAAAGCAUUUGGCUCGCCGAGAAGGUUGGCUUGGCUGUUUCGUGUUUGCAGGGCAGCACCUGUUGCAGUGUCCUUGCCCGUAGACGUUUUACCCCCACACCUCCAUUUUUUUAGAACAGUUUUCUCGCAUGGAGCAUUGGUUGGUGAUUUGGCCUGGUUUAGAGGCAAAUCAUUGCUGGCUCUUCCUCUCCUUCUUGCACACACCAUCUCAGCACCUCUUGGAACCGGCAUUUUUGUUCUCUGAGCCUCAUUUAACCAAGAGGCAUGUAAGUGUGGAGAUCUGCAUCGGUGCAUCCCGUUCACCUCCGCAAACAUUAGUGGAGCACCUGCUAAGUGCCAGGCCUUGGGGUAGCUACUGGAACUGCUGCGCACAGACUCCCUUAACAUCCCCAUCCCACCCCAGGGCCUGCACAGCAACGCAGAGCUUACAUCAGUUUGCAUUUUAUGUGGUCAGCAGCAUUGCUCUUAGAUUGUCCCAGACGCCUUUCUUUAUGGAAGAGUUCUGA